UUGACGGUGUCGCUCCAGGUGGCGGAGGCGUCGUCCAGCGCGGCGUCGCCGAAGUGGUCGCCGUCGACCAGCAUCCCCACGACGACGUCGUCGCCGUACUCGCCGACGCGGUGCACACCGGCCUUGCCGUGGGCCAUGAGGUAGACGUGGUCGAGGGGUGCGCCUGCGGCCGCGAUUACGUCGCCCGGCUCGUACUCACGCUGCUCGAAGCGAUCGGCGAGCGCCUCCAGCGCGGCCGUGUCGCCGAACCCCCGCAGCGGCCGCAGCUCGGCCAGCUCGGGCGGCACGACGCGGAUCCGGGGCCCGGUGGAGAGGAAGCUGACCCGGCCGUCGCCGACGGUGCAGGUCAGCCGGCGGUUCACCCGGUAAGUGCCGCCGUCGGUCUGCACCCAGGGCAGCACGCGCAGCAGCCAGCGGGAGGUGAUCCCCUGCAUCUGCGGAGGCGUCUUGGUCGUGGUCGCGAGGUUGCGCGCCGCCUCGGUCCCAAGGCUCAGCUUCUCGGGCCGGG
rnacentral:antisense_RNA from 1 species